rnacentral:rRNA from 1 species
CCUAGCUGUGUUGGCUUUCUAACCCGCACCACUUAUCGUGGUGGGAGACAGUGUCAGGCGGGCAGUUUGACUGGGGCGGUCGCCUCCUAAAAGGGAACGGAGGCGCUCAAAGGGUCCCUCAGAAUGGGUGGAAAUCAUUCAUAGAGUGUAAAGGCAUAAGGGAGCUUGACUGCGAGACCUACAAGUCGAGCAGGGUCGAAAGACGGACUUAGUGAUCCGGUGGUUCCGCAUGGAAGGGCCA